GAGUUUGAUCUUGGCUCAGAAUGAACGUUGGCGGCGUGGAUUAGGCAUGCAAGUCGCACGGGCCUGGUUUUCGGAUCAGGUCAGUGGCGCAAGGGUGAGUAAGGCGACGGUAACCAACCCCACGGUUGGGUAUAGCCGCGGGAAACUGCGGGUAAUCCCCAGCGAUGUACGGGGCCGGCAUCGGCCCGGUAUCAAAGUUCAGGCGCCGUGGGACGGGCCAUCGUGGUAUUAGGUAGUUGGCGGGGUAACGGCCCACCAAGCCUGUGAUGCCUACCGGGCGUGCGAGCGUGGCCCGGCACACUGGGGACUGAGACACUGCCCAGACUCCUACGGGAGGCUGCAGUCGAGAAUCUUCGGCAAUGGGGCGACAAGCCUGACCGAGCGACGCCGCGUGGAGGAU
rnacentral:rRNA from 1 species